GAUGAACGCUGGCGGCGUGCCUAAUACAUGCAAGUCGAGCGAACGGACGAGAAGCUUUCUUCUCUGAUGUUAGCGGCGGACGGGUGAGCAACACGUGGAUAACCUACCUAUAAGACUGGGAUAACUUCGGGAAACCGGAGCUAAUACCGGAUAAUAUUUUGAACCGCAUGGUUCAAAAGUGAAAGACGGUCUUGCUGUCACUUAUAGAUGGAUCCGCGCUGCAUUAGCUAGUUGGUAAGGUAACGGCUUACCAAGGCAACGAUGCAUAGCCGACCUGAGAGGGUGAUCGGCCACACUGGAACUGAGACACGGUCCAGACUCCUACGGGAGGCAGCAGUAGGGAAUCUUCCGCAAUGGGCGAAAGCCUGACGGAGCAACGCCGCGUGAGUGAUGAAGGUCUUCGGAUCGUAAAACUCUGUUAUUAGGGAAGAACAUAUGUGUAAGUAACUGUGCACAUCUUGACGGUACCUAAUCAGAAAGCCACGGCUAACUACGUG
rnacentral:rRNA from 1 species